rnacentral:lncRNA from 1 species
GAGGCAUGAGCUCAGGAUUCCUAAAGCCCUACGGGGCUGAGCAAGGACGGUGCUUUGCGUUUGCCUCCCUUCCCCCAGCCCGCCCGAGAGGGUUUGCUGGGGCAGGGUGGCCCCUGGGACGGGUUCCAGACAGUUCUAGGCGCUCAGGUCCGCAGCUGUGCUACCCCCGCCGCCCGGGACGCCCGGUCCCCGCCAGGGCCCUCUCACUGUAGCUUUAAGGAGGGCUGGGGCCGGGUGCAGCGGCACCUGGAGUCUCGGUGGAACCCGGCAGCGGUGGGCGCGGACCCCGGAGAGGCUGCCCCGAGCCCGAGCACCCCCUGACCGGGCGCUCACCACGGGUGUUGGGACAAGCAGCGGAGCCUGCGGGCUGGAGCCAGGCUCGGACCCUCCGCGCCGGGGCGGGCGGCCGAGCGGACGCAGCUGGCAGUGGCGGCGGGAGAGCGCCCCGGAUCCGCCCGGAGCCCAACCCCGUGGCACUUCGGCUGGCUGGGCAGCGGCGCUGGGGACAACGCGGGGCCUUCUGCAACGAGCGCCUGCGUGGGACUCCAGGGGCCGGCGCCCCGCUCCGCUCCCCCCAGGCCUCAACCCCGCUGGCUACCCGCGCUGAAACCUCACCUGCCGCCGGCUGCAAACGGACUGCGCUCCAGACUUUUGCUGAAGACACUGUCCCCCGCCCCCGCCCCUACGCCAGCGGCAGAGAAGAGAUCCAGGCUGGCCCCGCUCCUGGUUGGUGGGCAGGGCAAGCUGGAGGGGGGGGCAGGUACUAAGUGUUGCUGUGGAAAUAAAAAUCAUUGUAACAGGAGAAUAA